rnacentral:rRNA from 1 species
CCCGUGUCUAUCGUACCUUGUUGCUUCGGCGGGCCCGCCGUUUCGACGGCCGCCGGGGAGGCCUCGCGCCCCCGGGCCCGCGCCCGCCGAAGACCCCAACAUGAACGCUGUUCUGAAAGUAUGCAGUCUGAGUUGAUUAUCAUAAUCAGUUAAAACUUUCAACAACGGAUCUCUUGGUUCCGGCAUCGAUGAAGAACGCAGCGAAAUGCGAUAAGUAAUGUGAAUUGCAGAAUUCAGUGAAUCAUCGAGUCUUUGAACGCACAUUGCGCCCCCUGGUAUUCCGGGGGGCAUGCCUGUCCGAGCGUCAUUGCUGCCCUCAAGCACGGCUUGUGUGUUGGGCCCCGUCCCCUCCCCCGGGGACGGGCCCGAAAGGCAGCGGCGGCACCGCGUCCGGUCCUCGAGCGUAUGGGGCUUUGUCACCCGCUCUGUAGGCCCGGCCGGCGCCAGCCGACACCCAACUUUAUUUUCUAAGGUUGACCUCGGAUCAGGUAGGGAUACCCGCUGAACUUAAGCAUAUCA